UCCGAGGCGCCGGGCGGUGGGAUCCGGGCAUGGAUCCUCCCGCGAGUGGGGCCCAGGCCCCGAGAGUCGCGGGGCCGCCUCCGGAAGCCCCGCUGCCCAGCGCGAGGGAGUCUCUCCCCCGGCUGGAGGCUGGCUUUGCCACAGAUGACCACUCUGGCCAGAAGAGAGAAACUAAAACAACCACGGAUCAACUAGCCAGUGGAGCCCAAAGCACCCAUAGUGACAUUUGUACCCAUGGCAAGGGCACACAUUGUGGAGAGGAAGGCUUUGCUGAGGAGGCUGAUGGGGAACUGAAGGCCUGGGAGCUAUCAGAAGGAACACGCUGUCCACCCAGGGAACAGACUGCUGAUCUUUUCAAUGAAGACUGGGACUUGGAGUUGAAAGCAGAUCAAGGGAAUCCUUAUGAUGCUGAUGAUAUCCAGGGGAGCAUUUCUCAAGAGAUCAAACCAUGGGUGCGCUGUGCCCCCCAAGGAGACAUGGUCUAUGACCCCAGUUGGCACCAUCCCCCUCCAUUGAUACCCCAUUAUUCAAAAAUGGUCUUUGAAACAGGACAGUUUGAUGAUGCUGAAGAUUGAUGGCAGCACCUUCUACCUUGUGUGGAUAGAAUUGAUGGUAACUUCUGGCCAGAUUCUGUCAGAAUGCAUGAGCCCAUCUGGGAAGAGGCAGUGAGGGGGCAGAGGAAGAAGUAGAGGGGCGAAAGUAAACAAGAGAUUGCUUGGAAUAACAGGAUGAAAAGGAAGAAACAUGACAGGAAUCUUGUCAA